ACACAUGCGCCUUGCAAGGAAGGGCGAGAUUUCGGGGGCAGGGCGGGGGGCGGGCCUAGGCCGGGGUCUCACAGCGACUGCGCGGACGGGUUCCUGAGUGGAACAUGGCGACUUGCGCCGAAAUCCUGCGGAGCGAGUUCCCCGAAAUUGACGGACAAGUCUUCGACUACGUGACCGGCGUCUUGCACAGCGGCAGCGCGGACUUCGAGUCUGUGGAUGACCUGGUGGAAGCUGUAGGGGAACUAUUGCAAGAGGUGUCCGGGGACAGCAAGGAUGACGCGGGCAUCAGGGCCGUGUGCCAGCGCAUGUACAACACUCUGCGUCUGGCUGAGCCACAAAGCCAGGGAAAUAGCCAGGUGCUACUGGACGCCCCUAUCCAGUUGUCAAAGAUAACGGAGAACUACGGUGAGAGUGAGGGGAGGUUGAACUAACUGCCCCCCUGUGCUUUUCUCCGCCCCCAACCAUCUGCUGCCUGCAGCUUAGGGCUCCUACGUCUUUUCCACAGGACAAGGUUGUAGGAGCUAGUUGAUGUCUUUACCGAGGGCAGAAAAGCCCAUGAUGGGGGUGGGGAGGAGGUUGGAGGGUUCUCCCUCCAGGCUCUUGGGUAGGGUAGGAAGCAUAAGAGCGUGGAGCUGGACAGACGUGCUUUCACCCCCAGUUUUGCAACUUGCUAACCAGCUGCAUGAUCUUGUAAGAGUUGGUUAUCUGUCCCCAGCCUCGUCUAUGCCUCUGUAUCCUUCUACGUGAGUUUUGUUUUGUUUUGUUUUUAGUGCAGGGAAGAUAAUAGCCAUCUAUCUGCAGUA
rnacentral:sRNA from 1 species